UGUGACUUAAAGUUUAACGGCCGCGGUAUUUUGACCGUGCGAAGGUAGCGCAAUCACUUGUCUUUUAAAUGAAGACCCGUAUGAAUGGCACCACGAGGGCUUAGCUGUCUCCUUUUUCAAGUCAAUGAAAUUGAUCUCCCCGUGCAGAAGCGGGGAUGAAAAUAUAAGACGAGAAGACCCUAUGGAGCUUUAGACCUAGUGAAGACCACGAAAAAAGCUUUAAAUUAAAAAAGAAAACCCCAGUGAUUUCUCCACAACUGUCUUUGGUUGGGGCGACCGCGGGGAAAAACAAAACCCCCACGAGGAUUGAGAGUUCAACUCCUAAAACCAAGAGCUACAGCUCUAAGAAACAGAAAUUCUGACCUAUAUGAUCCGGGGAACCGAUCAACGAACCGAGUUACCCUAGGGAUAACAGCGCAAUCCCCUUCCAGAGCCCAUAUCGACAAGGGGGUUUACGACCUCGAUGUUGGAUCAGGACAUCCUAAUGGUGCAGCCGCUAUUAAGGGUUCGUUUGUUCAACGAUUAAAGUCCUACGUGAUCU
rnacentral:rRNA from 1 species